AGAGUUUGAUCCUGGCUCAGGAUGAACGCUAGCUACAGGCUUAACACAUGCAAGUCGAGGGGCAGCAUGAACUUAGCUUGCUAAGUUUGAUGGCGACCGGCGCACGGGUGAGUAACACGUAUCCAACCUGCCGAUGACUCGGGGAUAGCCUUUCGAAAGAAAGAUUAAUACCCGAUGGCAUAGUUCUUCCGCAUGGUAGAACUAUUAAAGAAUUUCGGUCAUCGAUGGGGAUGCGUUCCAUUAGGUUGUUGGCGGGGUAACGGCCCACCAAGCCUUCGAUGGAUAGGGGUUCUGAGAGGAAGGUCCCCCACAUUGGAACUGAGACACGGUCCAAACUCCUACGGGAGGCAGCAGUGAGGAAUAUUGGUCAAUGGACGAGAGUCUGAACCAGCCAAGUAGCGUGAAGGAUGACUGCCCUAUGGGUUGUAAACUUCUUUUAUACGGGAAUAAAGUGAGGCACGUGUGCCUUUUUGUAUGUACCGUAUGAAUAAGGAUCGGCUAACUCCGUGCCAGCAGCCGCGGUAAUACGGAGGAUCCGAGCGUUAUCCGGAUUUAUUGGGUUUAAAGGGAGCGUAGGCGGACGCUUAAGUCAGUUGUGAAAGUUUGCGGCUCAACCGUAAAAUUGCAGUUGAUACUGGGUGUCUUGAGUACAGUAGAGGCAGGCGGAAUUCGUGGUGUAGCGGUGAAAUGCUUAGAUAUCACGAAGAACUCCGAUUGCGAAGGCAGCUUGCUGGACUGUAACUGACGCUGAUGCUCGAAAGUGUGGGUAUCAAACAGGAUUAGAUACCCUGGUAGUCCACACAGUAAACGAUGAAUACUCGCUGUUUGCGAUAUACAGUAAGCGGCCAAGCGAAAGCGUUAAGUAUUCCACCUGGGGAGUACGCCGGCAACGGUGAAACUCAAAGGAAUUGACGGGGGCCCGCACAAGCGGAGGAACAUGUGGUUUAAUUCGAUGAUACGCGAGGAACCUUACCCGGGCUUGAAUUGCAACUGAAUGAUGUGGAGACAUGUCAGCCGCAAGGCAGUUGUGAAGGUGCUGCAUGGUUGUCGUCAGCU
rnacentral:rRNA from 1 species